rnacentral:tRNA from 1 species
GGCUCAGCCAGUAGAGCAUGUGACUCUUGAUCUCAAGAUUGUGGGUUCGAGCCCCAU